ACGGGAGUCACUGGGAUUAGGC
rnacentral:miRNA from 1 species